UAAGGAUUGGCGUCACAGCGCUUAUUCACUGGUUUGCAAGUGACAAUGAAAAAAGCUAGAUCUGAGUAUGACUGCAAAGACCUCUCGUCCUCAGGCCCCUAACUUUGUCUGGUUCGGAUCUGGUAUGCUACACAUGCGACCAUAGUUAGUUAAUUAUGGGUUAGGGAAUUCAAGUUAGGGAAUCAAUUUGAUCAAUGUAUCUUGCUAUUGCUGUGAUCUCAUGUGAGUGACACAUUUAGAAGAUAUAAACAUUAAAAGCUUGCAGUUGGUCACUUCCACCAAAGCGGCUCAACGAUUUUUCUUUUAUUCAAAUGUGGCGUCACCACAUAGAAUAAUGCUGCUGUUAACUAAACUACUAUUAGUUACAUGAUGCAUUUCUGGUCUCAAAUUCUAGCUUUUUACCUCUUACAGUUUAUAAAUGUGGGACUUUUUUCAUGAUAGUUCUUUUCCAUACACUGAAUGUUGUAACAAAUGUUGUAACAACAGUUGGUCACUUCCACCAAAGCGGCUCAACAAUUUUUCUUUUAUUCAAAUCUUCUGACCAAUCAAAUGCUCUCUAGAAUCCAAAGUGCAUACCCACUGCACUAUAAAUAGAUGAUGAAACACCAGCUGAAAUCAGUCACUUCACUUGUUCACAGUGUAGUAUUUCCUGCACAGUGAAUGAUGUGAGUGCACAAUGUAGGUGAUAGGGAAUGAUUCAGACAGUGUUAAUAUGCUUUCGACUGGUGCAAAUGAUGUCUGGUUUCAUGUUCAUGUUUCACACAGUCUGGACUCAACUUUGGCUGUGGUCAAGAGACGCGAUUGCAAAGAGCGGAUCAUAUAUGUGAGUCAGCAUAUAUUAAAAACUUUUACUACUACACAGCCUUAGCAUAAUUAUGACCACUAUUUUGUUUUAUUAAUUGAAUCUAGGGGGUAAUCUACUGUGGCUGUCAAAUUCAGAUUUACCAAGCUCAGUGUCUCUGACCUGAGCAGAUAUGAACAAAAUGCUAUUGGCUAUUUUAAAAAGGGGGCGGGGCUGUUUGAUAUGUUCCACCCUCUCUUCAUGUUUCAGUUGAAAUUGCGUCACCACAUAGAAUAAUGCUGCUGCUAACUAAACUACUAUUAGUUACAUGAUGCAUUUCUGGUCUAAAAUUCUAGCUUUUUACCUCUUACAGUUUAUAAAUGUGGGACUUUUUUCAUGAUAGUUCUUUUCCAUACACUGAAUGUUGUAACAAUGGUAAUAAAGAGUUGGUUAUUAUGUCUCUUUCUGCUCAGACACCAUAGGUUAAGCUGAUGGGUCUGUCACGUGAUGAAUGAACGACUCAAACCCGAAGACACAAUUGAUGAACUAUUCAAAUUUCUUUCUGGCUCAGACUGCAUUGGUUACGUUUAUGGGUCUGUCACGUGAUGAACGAAUCACUCCCGGAGAUGUAUGAACGAAUAUUUAAAGAAUGACCCAAAACUAUUCCAGACUGAGGACACACAAUCUCCCAUAGUAAGCACAAUCAUAAGCCAUGUUCUCAACAAAAACACACAAGACUUAAUAGACCACUUUGAAGGAAACAACACCUACACCAUGUGCUCACAAUGAACAAGACUAGACGAGCAGUCACCCAAUGAACAAGACCAAAUACCAUCAAAACAAAAUAUGCGUUUGUGAAAAAAAAAAAAAAAAAAAAACCUUGGAGCAUGAAUAUCUGGAUUCCAAACUAAAAACCAUAACAAAACCGAAAAGGAGCAUAAGGAUCCAGAUACUAGCCUUCAAAGACAAACAGCAUGCUACACAGUUGUCCUAAAUAAAAUAUUCGAGGUUGACUAAUAAUUGUAAAACUUUCAGUGAUCUGAGAAAUUUGCAAACGUUACUUUAACAUGAUUAAAUAUCAAACGUGUUAAACUUAAUAAAGUAAUGAUGAUGGUGAUGAGAAAUUGGGUUUUGUGGUCAGAGCAAAUUUGACUUUGACUUCCUUUGCUUGAUGUGGGAAGGUUCUUUUUUUCUUCCUGUCUUUGCUUCAAAGCUGCAGUAGAUUUAUCUUAAAUGUUGUGUGGAAGGAACCAAGUUUUAACCACGACAGCAGCAUGAAGAUCAUUCACCUUCAGCUCUGUGAGUUUAUUUCAUGAUAUCAAUGUAUUUACAUGCUUUGUAAACAUAUUAACAUUUUAAAUAGUUUUAUGUUAUGUGUCAAAUGUUCUCUUUGGUUAAUCUUAUUUAUUUUCUUAUAGAUGUAUUGAUCUGUUGUCAAGCUGCAGUUUCAGAUCUACUGACUGAUUUGGGAUCAAAUGUGAUCAUAAACUGUGAUCUUGAUGAAAAUGAGGUUUAUUGGAUUUUACUGAAAACAGCAGAUCCUCCGACACUGAUUCUACGAACAUUUCCGACACCAAUACCUCCUCAUUACUAUAAUGAUACGUUCAGAAACAAAUAUUCAGUGCAGUUUAAACAUCGUCUGGUUAUUAAUAAUGUGACUGCUGAUGAAUUAGGAGUUUAUUACUGUAUGAACACACGCACUCCUCCAAAACUCAGUAACAGCACAAGAAUAUACUUCACCGGUGAGUUCAUUUAUUACUUCAUUAUUCAGGACAUACUGAUGAUCACAGCGUACAUACAUACUAGUUAUUUAACCUAAAUUGAAAAAAAAAAAUAGGAAUAGAUCAUUUUUACAGCAAUUAAUAUGUUAUUUGUGGCAUUGUUUCAACAAUGGUAUGCAACAUCGCAGCAUUUAUUUUUAUCAUGAGUUGAAAUAUUUUUUGUCAGAGAUCUUGUAUAUGUGAUGGCAGAGUCUAUCCAUUAGUAAAAUCGACUUCAGCACAUCUAAAAGACUUUCAAAAGACUUGGCCAAUUCAUUUAUUUAUUUAUUUAUUUUUUAUGCUCAUUAAUUCACUAUUUCACAAUUUGAGUCUGAUAGUGUUAUCUUUCUAUUCUUAUUCUGGAACGUGAACAUGGGUCUUCCGAAAGUUUUGUUAGAGAAAUAAAAAGCUACACACUGCAUCAGUUAGAAUUAAAAUAAUUGUUGUCAAACACUCGGCAUAACUGAAAACAUUAAUCACUGCAACAAUGAUCCAAUCCUAAAAUCUAUUUGGCUUAAUAUUUGGCUUUUUUUUUUUUUUGCCAGGCAGUGUAAACUAUUAAUAUUAUAAUUGUUCAGUGCUACAAAUAUGUAGCCAUUGCUCUAACAGUAAAAUCUUUUACAGUAACAGACUGGACACUUUUAUUACAGAACCAGAUCAACUAACGGUGUUAACUGAGUGUCAUAACCGUACAGUGACUGAGUAUACACAGGAGAUUCAGACCCAAUGGAAGAUUAUUAUUAUCAUAUUUGGACUGAUGAAUGGGCUUCUGGUUAUUGUGGUGAUUGGACUGGUAAAGGUUUUUGUUGUUGGAAACAGAAGGUCUGAAGAACAAUCAGAACAACUCGACACUGAUCAACAGAUGAUGCAAGUUAUAGAACCACAUCAGGACCAAUUACAUUACGCCAUGGUGGACUUUUCCAAACAGCGUAGAAAUAUUCGGUCCAGCCAAAUCAACAGCACGUAUGCUGCUCUAAACCUGCCGAAGUCAUGAACACAUGAGUAUGACUGAUUUUACACUGGUUUUAUUCACUUGUUCUUGAUGUUCAACCAUGAAACUCUGAGGAAAGUUCUUAAAAAUACUGUAUAAAAUGUAAACAAAAUAAAGUAAAAAAGAAAAUAUUUGAUAUUAUUGAUAUUUCAUUCUAGAUUCUAAAGAUUGAUUAUAGUCAUGAAAAUAAUGACAAUUAUUUUACUGAAUUGACAGUUAAAGUUUUAUAUUUCUCUCUGUGUGCACAUCUGAAAGUAUUCCAAUAAUAAAUUGGUAAAUUUAUUAUUAGAAAAAUAAUCUUUUUUGUAUAAUUAUGUUAUAUAUUUUUUAUACAUAAAUUAUGUGCCUGCUUUUGUAUUUGGCACAUCUGUGAGUAUAUUUUGGUGUUCAAAUAGGAAUCAGAAAUAAAAAAGGUGUUUGCAAAAUGAAUGGCAGGAAUACUUUGAUAUGACUGCCUUUAAAACCUACCUACCUACCUAUAUAAAUACCUACAUAUAUAUUAUUAUAUGUACAAUUUUACAAUUAGUUCCACAAUACUUAAAUGGUAUAAUCAAUAAAUAUUUAAAUAAAAAUAUUUAAAACACACGACAACAUUUUUACAUUCCCUGAGUAAUGAAUUAUACUUUAUAAUGUAAUUAUAAAUUAACUUCAAUAACAAAAGCAAGAAGUCAAUUAAAUUUAAAUGUCAUAUUAAAUAUUGUCCAUAUUGGUGAAUUAGAAGCGUGUGACUAUAUGAGCGCAGACAUACAUUUAGCAGCAUUUCCAGAUUAAUCAUAAAUCAGUAAAAAAGAAAGAAAAGUAAAGUCUAAAGUGAUUCUCAUAUAUAUUCACAUGUAUCUGUAACAAAAUAUGUAUUAAUCAUAUAUAGAAGUAGUUUUGUAUACAUGAAUGCAUACUAUGCCAUUUGUUAAGUAAAAAAAUAAAAUUACAAAAAAUAUGUAGUCUUUUCAACUAAACUAAACUGAAGUGUUAAACCCAAACCAGAAACAUGUUCCACUGGCUUUGGCACUUGACGACCAGCGACUCUCACCUUUGUCUACAGUGGAGGUUUAACUGUGAAACGAGUGCAGUGUUUUUCCAACACUUUUAUGUUUCAGAAGUUCUCACGGUUGUCUUAACCUCAAAUGGAAAGUACAUCUGCUUUGUUUGUUUACUAGACCCCCACAGUGUCAGAUUAGCACUUGCAAAGUGUAAACGCAUGUAAACCACAUUCACAACACUUAAGCUGAAGUUUGUAUUGCUGUGAUUGUCCAGCAAAGUCCUAUUCUCUUAUUCAAACUCAUUUGACUCUUAGUCAUUUCACAUGAAUCUGGGGUUAAUCUUGGAAUGAUUAAAUAAAUGAAAUAAUUUUACACAAAUGUCAUACUAGAAGUGCUGAGAGAGAUAGAGAGAGAGAGAGAGAGAGAAACUUAUGAGGAAAAACAAGUGAACUUAAUAUGAACUAUUGAUGGCCUAUUGCUGAAACCACAGACAACAGGGUGUUUCGAACAGAGAAAUGUCCCAGUGCUACCUAACAGUUAUUUAAUAUUUAUACUGUACACUAUUUCAGGAUAACAUUUUCUUUAAUGAACUUAAAUUUCGGUAAAUCUUAAACCCCGUUGCAAUGGUUAAUUUUAGUUAAAUCAGCACCUGUGCUUCUUAAAAUGUAAUGUUUUUGCAAAUACCCCAUCUAACUUUUAGAAAAAUGAAUGAAUAAUAAUUUAGUCAUCACUAAAAUGAUCCACAUGAUGAUGACCUUUCACCAUACGAUCUCAUCCGGGACGAUCCCUCAGGUUCAGACACUUUUAAUUCAGCGCACUACCAGGAUGCUUUCUUACGUCGCGGCUGCAGGUAAGUGGAGUUCAUAGCGGAGCAUAGUGCUUGUAUACUUAUAUCAUUACAUUAUUAUUAUUUUACAAGACCAGCGUGAAGAGAGCAUGAACAGCUGUUGUUUAUAUUGCUGAUUGUAGCUUUUGAAAGUAAUGUUAGCUGCAGCAAGGAACUAUAAUAUUUUCAUUAUAUAUUUUCCUAAUGACAAUUUUAUGAUCGGUUUAUAAAGACUAGUACAAACACCUUUCCACCAUUUUUAUCAUAGAAUAAGGCAGGGAAUAUAUAUUAAUAAUUUAUAUAGGCUACUAAAUGAUAUGUUAAUCAGUACUACAUUAUUCUUAUAGUUUGUUUAUUACCUGGAGACUUGAAAAACACAUAAAUCAUAUAUUUUAUUAAUUUUGUGUGUUAAUUCUCUUUUUGGAUUUUUGUUCAACUCAGCUACAGUGAUAGCCAGAUGAUGUUUGUCCAUAUUAGGGACUUCCUGCACGUCACAAGUCAUUUCUUCUAUUAGUGUGUUUUGGACACUGGUUUUGAGUAGGAAUGAAACACACACUGCCUGAGAGGGUUCAGCGUUCCUGCUAUUCACUUCUCAUUUUAGAACGGAAUAAAACAUUAGGUCAUGCAAAGACUAUCAAUACUGUCUCUUUGAAUUUAAAUCUAGAUUUAAAUCUAGAAACUUCUACAUAAAUACACGCCUGAAUGAAGUGUUGGGGAUGAAUUUACAUUUCAUAAAAAUUGAAUAUAAAAAAUGCAGACAUUGUUCUACACACAGCAAGAUAAUCAAAGGUGUCUGUUCUCUUUCAAUCUUGCAAUUUGAUUGGGAACAUUUUAAAGGAUGUCUAGGGAUCCUGCCUUUAUGAUGUCUUCUUAAAAAGAUUACUUUGAACUUUUAUUUUUACAGUAUUUAUUUGAAAAUCGUAGAGUAACUUAAAAAUAUUGAUCUCAACACUGAUAACAAAGGCUUAUACUGAUUUUCUCAUCCUCUGAUUUAUAGGCUACUUAUCAAUCCUGUUUUUUUUUUCAAUAUCAUUCAAAAAAUGAAUUAAUUCAGAAAAGGAUUAGAAUAGAAUUCUAUUUUAAAUAUUUUUUUUUCUAACAGUAAUGUUACAACAGCAGACCCACCAUACCCUGUAAACACAACA